GACGAACGCUGGCGGCGUGCUUAACACAUGCAAGUCACGGGGGCCCGCAAGGGUAACCGGCGAACGGGUGCGUAACACGUGAGCAAUCUGCCGUACACUGGGGGAUAGCCGGCCCAACGGCCGGGUAAUACCGCAUACGUUCUUCGGGCGGCAUCGCUUGAAGAAGAAACCUCCGGGGGUGUACGAGGAGCUCGCGGCCUAUCAGGUAGUUGGUGGGGUCACGGCCUACCAAGCCAUUGACGGGUAGCUG
rnacentral:rRNA from 1 species